UACGUAGGGCGCAAGCGUUAUCCGGAAUUAUUGGGCGUAAAGAGCUCGUAGGCGGUUUGUCGCGUCUGCCGUGAAAGUCCGGGGCUCAACUCCGGAUCUGCGGUGGGUACGGGCAGACUAGAGUGAUGUAGGGGAGACUGGAAUUCCUGGUGUAGCGGUGAAAUGCGUAGAUAUCAAGAGGAACACCUGAGGUGAAGACGGGUUGCUGGGCUGACACUGACGCUGAGGCGCGAAAGCCAGGGGAGCAAACGGG
rnacentral:rRNA from 1 species